AUGGGAUUUUUGCUCCUCCUAAUUUUCGCUGUAGCCGCUUUGGAAGGUGUCCGGUCCCAGGUGCAGCUGGUGGAGUCCGGAGGGGAUGUGAAAAAGCCCGGAGACUCUCUCCGCCUCUCCUGCAAAGCCUCUGGGUUCACCUUCAGCAGCUACUACAUGAGCUGGGUCCGACAGGCUCCCGGCAAGGGGCUAGAAUGGGUCGCUGCUAUAAGCGACGGUGGGGGUACAUACUACCUUGAUUCCGUCAAAGGCCGAUUCACCAUCUCCCGGGACAAUCCCAAGAGUGAGCUGUAUCUGCAAAUGACCGGCCUGAGGCCCGAGGACACCGCCCGCUAUUACUGUGCGAGAGACACAGUGAAACGAAACCGGUUUGUGACCAUACAAUAA